UUGUCACAUCUGCUAAAGGUAGCCAUAUCCUGAUUCACUGCAUCUUCAUAUGUUGGGUAAGACGUGUCAUUGGACUAGUGACAAAGUGGACACCUUAAAAUGUCUGAUCCAAUUUAUCCAAAUGCUUCCUCAGUUUACAAGACGAAAAACAAUUGAAUUUCACAUUCUUGGGGUCAGUAACCUGACCUCUAACCUUUUGGGAAACCAUGCUUAAGAUCGCAUGCUCUUGGCAUAAACAACAGAAUUAGUAUUUGAGCAACUUUAUUGCUCAAUUUGUAAAUCAGUCAGGAUUUAAUGAGCUGGUUCUCCUUCACACAACAGAAGAAGGUAAAUUGAGUCGACUCGUAAGAUGGUUGGGCCUUUUGUCCUUCCCCUCCUCCUGUGUGUGUGAAGGAAUCUGGCCACAAAUCCUGACUGACUGGCACACCAUGGCUGUGCUGUUUCCAAAAUCAGACCAGGAUCCAUCUGAUUUUGUGACUCAGCCUGUCAUGGUAUGCAUUUAUUUUCCUCCAAAACAAUUGGAGUGAACAUGUUUGCUAUGUAGGUCACUUUUAGACAAAAUGACACAUUUGGUCAAAUUAGGGUCAAACAUUUUAAGGGGUCUGCUUUGUCAAUGGUCUAGCACUACAUCUUGCUAAACACAUAAGUAGCUCUGAAUUGUGAGAUCGCUGCCUCUUGCAGAUUUUACGACGACAGCAAUGGGUGUUGUAAGGCUGCAGGGAGAGAAUGAGGUCUGAGAGAGGGAAAGUGGAAUUGAUUUCAUGCAAAAUAAGGGGUUUAAGCAGAGAAACUUUGUAGUGAGGCUGCAGAAUUGGAAGGAACUUUGCCUGGGCAACUUUGAGAUUGGCAGUUUUUCAUGCAGCUAACCAAGACAUUGGGGUUGGCAUCAUCCAAAAUGGCUUGAGGCUUGGUCAUCUGAUAUUGAAUUGUGGUUGGAGACCGGGGUAGUUUGGCAAACCGUCGGUGUAGAAUAGGAAAGCCAGGUAGAGACUGGGGAGGGCAUCCAUCGGUGGACCCUGACUGGAUGUGAGAAGACCCUUGACCAGAGGUGAUGAAGGCUUCAUCAGAGUACUCCAUGUUGGACACCACAACCUGGAGAAGUCCCGUCAUGGAUCGCUGUAAUGAGUACCUGGCCAAGGUGACCCGACCCUUCUACGAUGACUCCUUUGCCACGGGAUGUCUUCAGGUGUUGGACCUUAAGGACCAGAGCCUACCAAAAUAUACACAUGCCUCAAUGGCUGCUCCGCCUCUCUGCCCAAUAGAACAUGGACAUAGAUCCAGUUUUAUUUAAACAAAAUGGACUUUACCACCUAAAGCCAGGGACUUUCUUCAACCCAGAGCCCCCUGCCCCCACUGACCCACCACCACAAAUCACAAAACUGCACAUGAAGCAGCACAACACUAAAAUUAUGUUAUUAAAUAUUUUCUUUUUUUCAUGGUUCUGUGCUGAAUGUUUUUUUGA